rnacentral:rRNA from 1 species
AACGAACGCUGGCGGCGUGCCUAACACAUGCAAGUCGUGCGAGAAAGUUCCUUCGGGAGCGAGUAAAGCGGCGCACGGGUGAGUAACACGUAGGUAACCUGCCCCCCAGUCUGGAACAACUAGAGGAAACUCUAGCUAAUGCCGGAUGAGACCACGAUCCCUUCGGGGGUUGCGGCCAAAGAUGGCCUCUACUUGUAAGCUAUCGCUGAGGGAUGGGCCUGCGGGCCAUUAGCUUGUUGGUGAGGUAACGGCUCACCAAGGCUGUGAUGGCUAGCUGGUCUGAGAGGACGACCAGCCACACUGGGACUGAGACACGGCCCAGACUCCUACGGGAGGCAGCAGUGGGGAAUAUUGCGCAAUGGGCGAAAGCCUGACGCAGCGACGCCGCGUGGGUGACGAAGGCUUUCGGGUCGUAAAGCCCUGUCGGAAGGGACGAAAACGGUAUGGCGUAACAUCCAUGCCGCUUGACGGUACCUUUAAGGAAGCACCGGCUAACUACGUGCCAGCAGCCG